rnacentral:rRNA from 1 species
UACGAAGGGGGCUAGCGUUGUUCGGAAUUACUGGGCGUAAAGCGCGCGCAGGCGGCUAUCCAAGUCAGUGGUGAAAGCCCGGAGCUCAACUCCGGAACUGCCAUUGAAACUGUUUAGCUUGAGUAUGGAGAGAGGUGAGUGAAUUCCCAGUGUAGAGGUGAAAUUCGUAGAUAUUGGGAAGAACACCGGUGGCGAAGGCGGCUCGCUGGCUCAUUACUGACGCUCAGGCGCGACAGCGUGGGGAUCAAACAGG